rnacentral:rRNA from 1 species
ACGUAGGAGGCGAGCGUUAUCCGGAUUUACUGGGCUUAAAGCGCGUGUAGGCGGUCUAUUAAGUUGGUUGUGAAAGCCUCCCGCUUAACUGGGGGACGGCGUUUAAGACUGUUGGGCUAGAGUAUGGGAGAGGUAAGCGGAAUUUCUAGUGUAGUGGUGAAAUGCUUAGAUAUUCGGAGGAACACCAAUUGCGAAGGCAGCUUCCUGGCCCAUAACUGACGCUGAGGCGCGAAAGCGAGGGUAUCAAACGG